rnacentral:sRNA from 1 species
AAAGACUUCUCGAUUUGGGGGUAUUUUCGAUUUGGUUUUUUUCUUUUAGAUUUUUGGUUUACGGGCUAAUGGGUUGAUUUUUGGGUUAAUCCGGUUUAGUUUUGUUGUUACAAUGGUUAAUGGUGAUUUCGGCACAGUAAACCAAAUAUAAACCACCAAAAUCGAAAUAAUGGGGAUUAAGCAUUCGAAUUUUCAAUUUAGGGGGAAACUGGAGUUUAACUUCAAGUUUGUGUGGAUUGAAGUCGAGAUCCGAAUUUGGUGUAAUUACGGUAUUAUACGAAACUUUCUGUGGGGACACAGGUCGUUCAACGACGGUCCAUACUAUUCAGUUCAAGUUUAUUUGUUCGUCUUUAUUAAUGACUGACUUAAGUGCCAUUUAAGUUUGUUAUAAUCAUUUACUCGUAUGUAAUU